GUAAAACAAGCUCCCUUUUCUUGCUGAAGAGUUUCUUGUAAGUUAAGAUAUUUGCACUAGAAGCUAGACUAAAACUACUUGGUCAGAUUUUGUGUUUUUGCAGUGAGGGAGGAGUUUUGUUUGUAUUGUCCAAAAAGACAAAAAAUAAAAACUAGCAUUACUGAAUAAAUUAUUUUAAGAGUAAUUAUUGAUUCCAAACAAGCUCCCGUAUCUUUCUGAAAAUGUACUUGUAUGUUAGUUUUGUCUCAUUUCAAGUGCAGAGAGAUAAUUACACUAGAAAUAUUUUGUGUUUUUGCAGCGUGGACGCAAAUCGAAACGGGAAAUUUACAGUAAAUUCCCCCAAAUUUGCAGGAAGAGCUGAGUGAGUGACAGCAGCUCACAUGUGGAGGCGGUGGGGUUUGGCCUUCGAUUCAGGGGGAAAAGCUUUUGGUUUGGCCUGAGCUGAGGGAAGUUUUUGGACCUCCCACCCAAAUGGGGCUUUACUUCUGGAAAUCUCAUUGCUGUUUAUUUGAAUUACAGAGGCUGAGAUGAGAAAAGGAGGCCUAAUGAAGUCCAGGUUGUCGAGCAUGUGCAAACCAUCACUAAAGGUCUGCAGAAAGCUGCAGAAGGCUUGCUGGAUUAGUGCACGCUUCCCCCCUCGCCGUCCUUUCAAUCUGGCAACGCUGGACUUUUAAAUUUCGGGAGGACAUGUGCUUUCUGUUGUAAACUCACAUUCCUUACAGGCUUACUGUGUCGCUAAAAUCUCCAUUAUCCCUUAUUGUUAUCAGUCAUCGUAAAAUCACAUACGCAUCAGGAAUAAAACUGCCUUUUUUCUUUUUUUUUUUACGUUUUUAUAAAUAUAAACUUUUAUUGCAGUACGUAGAUUUAGAAAAAUACAUUCACAUAAUUUCAGAUAACAAACAUAAUUCAAGCUAAGAUAAAAAACAAACAAAAAACAACAAAAAAAGACUUUUUGCUCAUAAUUUUUGGUUUAUACCAUUAAAGCACUGAGGAAACUUUCACUGAAAGUUCUGCUCAGACAUCCUGAAGACGGGAAGGCAUGAAAACGUGAUGAGUUGGCUGUAGAGCGGAAAUGUGUUGAUGUAAGAACCUCGGGUCCUGUAUGGAAAACUGUUGGACAAAUGGCCUCAUGCUUCCAUGAACAGGUUAGAAUGAGCUAAAUCAAAACAUGUCUGUCACAUUUUAUGCACAAAAUCAUUCUUAGAUGAUGAGAUUUUAGUCAAUUUUGAGUUUCUAUAAGAAUGAGCUGUUUUAGGGUCUCUGUCAUUUUAAAUCCAAACAAGCUGCUGCUGCCCACGCCCCCAACUCAACGUUCACACUCGCACAUGAAAAUGGCUGCCAACAGAAGCGCCGUUAUACAACCGUACAUCUUUGAAGAGCAGAAGUGGAGCCUGCUGCGUAGUCUACAAGAAUGCAGGAAGUGGUUUCUGAAUGGUAAAUCAAUAACAAAGCACUUGUUUUUUCUUCUAGCAGCCAUUGUGCAGCGGAUACAGUGGUAAAACCAGCUGACCAAACAUGCUGGAGCUCCACAUGGGUGGCUAGGUAACAGGCUUGACUUUGCUUGGGUUGCUAGAAGCAGUGGAGACCCAAAUGGAAGCAUAAAAACGACCAAAAUGUGAAUUUUGCAUAAUAGGUCCCCUUUAAGGAAACCUUCAGGCAGAGGCUGCAGACCUCUGAAGCUCAUUUCUGCUCCACUUUGACUGAAUCCCUCACAGAAAAUGUUAAAAGGCACUCGUAUUAAUGAAAUAGUUUGAUGCUGUGCAAAGAUAAAGGAUUUCAAUCAUUUUUUAAUCCUGAAGCCGUUUCAGCCUGGCUUUAUUUUGAAGCCAGUUAAACCCCUCAGGGUUCUACAUAUUCAGGAGUUUUCCAAACUCAGCUUUUUAUGUUCAUUUUAAAAUAUAAAACACAAAAGAGUCACUUUGGAUUUACUUUCCACAGUGGAUAAGCUUUGAAUACGGAAACAAAGACACAAUGAAAGAAAGAAGAAAGGAGACAUUGAAGGAAGAAUGAAGGAUACAAGGGUGGAAGAAAAGGAAAGAAAACAUUAAAGAAACCAAUAAAAGGUGCAAGGAAGUAAAAAAGACACAAAUGAUGGAAGGAGAAAGGAAAGAAGGAAGGAAGAAUGUAGAAUGGAUGGAAAACACAAAAAAUAUCGGUGAAGAAUGCAAGGAAAUAAAGAAAGUUACUUAGGAGACAAGUAAGGAAGGGAGAAGGACACAAGCAAGGAAGGAAAACAAUGAAGAAAAUAACAGAAGGACACCAAGGAUAGAGUAACUUAAGAAACAAGGGAGCAACAAAGGAAGGAAAGCAGACAAAGAAGGAAUAAUUAAAGACUCAAGGAUGGAAGAAAACAGGAACGAUGCCAAUGAAAGACAACAAAAUAAAGAAAGGACACAACGGAGGAUGUUAGGUAGAAGAUAAGGAAGGAAAGAAAGAUGUAGGACACAAAGAUGAAAGAAAAUAUGAAAAAUAUCAAUGAAGGAUGCUGGGAAAUAAAGAAAGGACAGAAUAAAGGAAGUUAGG